AGAUAAAAAAAGUUCCUGACCCCAAAAGUAUGAACGGUAGUGUGUGUAUAUGCCAUUAAGUGACAGUUUUUUAAGUUUUGAUGGUGUGCAUCUGUGCAGGAAUAUCUGUUAAGCACAAAGCCUUAGAGACUUCUCCAGUUUAUAUAUAAUAUGUGUGUGUGUCUGUUCUUGUGACACAAAUGUGCUUCCCUCUUUCUGAGCGAAAAUAUGUGAAUUUUUUUUAACCAGACUUUUUCCAAGAAUAGCUAACUUUUCUAGAAAUUUAGCAUUGCCAAGGAUUUGUAAUUCAGCUUCUCACUGUCACCUAAAGUCUCUUCCAUCCGAGCAGUUCCUUUCUUCCAGAUUCCUCGCAACUUAAGUAGCUCCACGUACAUUAAUCCAGCAUUCAGUAACACACUGAUUCAAGAUGCGCUGUAGCUCGCCUGUCAAUAAUCAUGUGGAAAUAGACACUGAAUCACAGAGUAUUGAUCAUAUUCUAAUUCUGCUUCAUCUGUGAUGCUUUUUAGACUCACUUUUGGUCUGCUAAAAGGACAAACGAAAGAGUAUUGUGACAGAUGUCCGCGUGGUUGCUUUUGAUAUCGCUCCACGAAUGACACUACAGGACAACAGACCAUCAGGAACAUGCAGGAAAACUUGAGAAAAGUCUUGACUGAUGAAACGUGUGGACAGCACAAGAGGACAUUGCCUGGACAAUCGGUUUGUUUUCACAAGAACAGUGUUGUCAUGAAUCUGCCCUGAGACACUCACAGUGAACCUUACAGUGAAAGCCAUAAGACCAGAACAUGCAAAUCAAGUAAUAAAGUCAAUUUGCAAAAAC